GAAAACUGAGGUGGUUCCGGAUGGGCAUGCGUGAUAUUAGCUGGAUGGAGAGGUAACGGCUCACCAUGGCUACGAUAUCUAGGGGAACUGAGAGGUUAAUCCCCCACACUGGUACUGAGACAUGGACCAGACUCCUACGGAAGGCAGCAGUGAGGAAUAUUGGUCAAUGGGAGGAAUCCUGAACCAGCCAUGCCGCGUGCAGGACGACGGCUCUACGAGUUGUAAACUGCUUUUGUACCGGGGUAAAAUGCCUUACGAGUAGGGUUUUGAAAGUACGGUACGAAUAAGGAUCGGCUAACUCCGUGCCAGCAGCCGCGGUAAUACGGAGGAUCCGAGCGUUAUCCGGAUUCAUUGGGUUUAAAGGGUGCGUAGGUUGUUUUAUAAGUUAGCGGUGAAAUACCGAUGCUCAACAUCGGGGCUGCCGCUAAUACUGUAGGACUAGAGAUCGGAUGCAGCAGGCGGAAUGUGUAGUGUAGCGGUGAAAUGCAUAGAUAUUACACAGAACACCGAUUGCGAAGGCAGCUUGCUAGGCCGGAUCUGACACUGAUGCACGAAAGCGUGGGGAUCGAACAGGAUUAGAUACCCUGGUAGUCCACGCAGUAAACGAUGAUAACUAGUUGUCGGCGAUACACAGUCG
rnacentral:rRNA from 1 species